AGUGAACGCUGGCGGUAGGCCUAACACAUGCAAGUCGAACGGCAGCACAGUAAGAGCUUGCUCUUACGGGUGGCGAGUGGCGGACGGGUGAGGAAUACAUCGGAAUCUACUUUUUCGUGGGGGAUAACGUAGGGAAACUUACGCUAAUACCGCAUACGACCUACGGGUGAAAGCAGGGGAUCUUCGGACCUUGCGCGAUUGAAUGAGCCGAUGUCGGAUUAGCUAGUUGGCGGGGUAAAGGCCCACCAAGGCGACGAUCCGUAGCUGGUCUGAGAGGAUGAGCGGACAGACGGGGAGUGAGACACGGGCCAGAGUCCGACGGGAGGAGGAAGGAGGGAAUCGUAGGAAAGGGGCGAAAGUCUGACAGAGCAACGCAGCGUGAGUGAAGAAGGUUUUCGGAUAGUAAAACUCUGUUGUUAGAGAAGAAAAAGGACGUUAGGAAAUCAACGUGCACUGACGGUAUCUAAGCAGAAAGCCACGGCUAACUACGUG
rnacentral:rRNA from 1 species